AUUGAACGCUGGCGGCAUGCCUUACACAUGCAAGUCGAACGGUAACGGGUCCUUCGGGAUGCCGACGAGUGGCGAACGGGUGAGUAAUAUAUCGGAACGUGCCCAGUAGUGGGGGAUAACUGCUCGAAAGAGCAGCUAAUACCGCAUACGACCUGAGGGUGAAAGGGGGGGAUCGCAAGACCUGUCGCUAUUGGAGCGGCCGAUAUCAGAUUAGCUAGUUGGUGGGGUAAAGGCCUACCAAGGCAACGAUCUGUAGUUGGUCUGAGAGGACGACCAGCCACACUGGGACUGAGACACGGCCCAGACUCCUACGGGAGGCAGCAGUGGGGAAUUUUGGACAAUGGGCGCAAGCCUGACCCAGCAAUGCCGCGUGCAGGAAGAAGGCCUUCGGGUUGUAAACUGCUUUUGUCAGGGAAGAAAUCUUCUGGGCUAAUACCCCGGGAGGAUGACGGUACCUGAAGAAUAAGCACCGGCUAACUACGUGCCAGCCGCCGCGGUAA
rnacentral:rRNA from 1 species